GGGAGCAAUCCCUGAGUGCAGCGACGUACGGGUGAGUAACACGUGGAUGAUCUACCUUUUAGUGGGGAAUAACCCUGGGAAACCGGGGCUAAUACCGCAUAAUCCUGAGAAGGGAAAGCGAGCAAUCGCGCUGAAAGAGGAGUCCGCGGCCGAUUAGCUAGUUGGUGAGGUAAAGGCUCACCAAGGCGGUGAUAGGUAGCCGGCCUGAGAGGGCACACGGCCACACUGGCACUGAAACACGGGCCAGACUCCUACGGGAGGCAGCAGUGGGGAAUCUUGCACAAUGGAGGAAACUCGGGGGGCAGCGACGCCGCGUGAGCGAUGAAGCCCUUCGGGGUGUAAAGCUCUUUCGGCAGGGACGAUAAUGACGGUACCUGAAGAAGAAGCUGCGGCUAACUACGUGCCAGCAGCCGCGGUAAUACGUAGGCAGCGAGCGUUGUUCGGAAUUACUGGGCGUAAAGAGUGUGUAGGCGGUGCUCUAAGUUCGGUGUGAAAUCUCCUGGCUCAACUGGGAGGGUGCGCCGGAAACUGAGUGCUUGAUCGUGGGAGAGGAAAGCGGAAUUCCUGGUGUAGCGGUGAAAUGCGUA
rnacentral:rRNA from 1 species